rnacentral:rRNA from 1 species
UCGAACGGAAAGGCCCAGCUUGCUGGGUGCUCGAGUGGCGAACGGGUGAGUAACACGUGGGUGAUCUGCCCCUAACUUCGGGAUAAGCUUGGGAAACUGGGUCUAAUACCGGAUAGGACAAUCGUUUAGUGUCGGUUGUGGAAAGUUUUUUCGGUUAGGGAUGAGCCCGCGGCCUAUCAGCUUGUUGGUGGGGUAAUGGCCUACCAAGGCGUCGACGGGUAGCCGGCCUGAGAGGGUGGACGGCCACAUUGGGACUGAGAUACGGCCCAGACUCCUACGGGAGGCAGCAGUGGGGAAUAUUGCACAAUGGGCGCAAGCCUGAUGCAGCGACGCCGCGUGGGGGAUGACGGCCUUCGGGUUGUAAACCUCUUUCGACAGGGACGAAGCUUUGGUGACGGUACCUGUAUAAGAAGCACCGGCUAACUACGUGCCAGCAGCCGCGGUAAUACGUAGGGUGCGAGCGUUGUCCGGAAUUACUGGGCGUAAAGAGCUCGUAGGUGGUUUGUCGCGUCGUCUGUGAAAUUCCGGGGCUUAACUUCGGGCGUGCAGGCGAUACGGGCAUAACUUGAGUGCUGUAGGGGAGACUGGAAUUCCUGGUGUAGCGGUGGAAUGCGCAGAUAUCAGGAGGAACACCGAUGGCGAAGGCAGGUCUCUGGGCAGUAACUGACGCUGAGGAGCGAAAGCAUGGGGAGCGAACAGGAUUAGAUACCCUGGUAGUCCAUGCCGUAAACGGUGGGCGCUAGGUGUAGGGGUCUUCCACGACUUCUGUGCCGUAGCUAACGCAUUAAGCGCCCCGCCUGGGGAGUACGGCCGCAAGGCUAUUGUCG